rnacentral:rRNA from 1 species
CCUACGGGUGGCAGCAGUAGGGAAUAUUGCUCAAUGGGGGAAACCCUGAAGCAGCAACGCCGCGUGGAGGAUGAAGGUUUUCGGAUUGUAAACUCCUUUUGUUAGAGAAGAUAAUGACGGUAUCUAACGAAUAAGCACCGGCUAACUCCUUGCCAGCAGCCGCGGUAAUACGGAGGGUGCAAGCGUUACUCGGAAUCACUGGGCGUAAAGAGCGCGUAGGCGGGAUAGCAAGUCAGAUGUGAAAUCCUAGGGCUUAACCAUAGAACUGCAUGUGAAACUGUUAUUCUAGAGUAUGGGAGAGGUAGGUGGAAUUAUUGGUGUAGGGGUAAAAUCCGUAGAGAUCAAGAGGAAUACUCAUUGCGAAGGCGACCUGCUAGAACAUAACUGACGCUGAUGCGCGAAAGCGUGGGGAGCAAACAGGAUUAGAUACCCCAGUAGUC